rnacentral:rRNA from 1 species
CCUACGGGUGGCAGCAGUGGGGGAUAUUGCACAAUGGGGGAAACCCUGAUGCAGCGACGCCGCGUGUGGGAAGACGGUCUUCUGGAUUGUAAACCACUGUCCCCAGGGACGAAAAUGACGGUACCUGGGGAGGAAGCUCCGGCUAACUACGUGCCAGCAGCCGCGGUAAUACGUAGGGGGCAAGCGUUGUCCGGAAUUACUGGGUGAAAAGGGAGCGUAGGCGGGGAUGCAAGUUGGGUGUCAAAACUACCGGCUAAACCGAUAGUCGCACUCAAAACUGCAGCUCUUGAGUGAAGUAGAGGCAGGCGGAAUUCCUAGUGUAGCGGUGAAAUGCGUAGAUAUUAGGAGGAACACCAGUGGCGAAGGCGGCCUGCUGGGCUUUUACUGACGCUGAGGCUCGAAAGUGUGGGGAGCAAACAGGAUUAGAUACCCCUGUAGUC